UGGGGAAUUUUGCACAAUGGGGGGAACCUUGAUGCAGCGACGCCGCGUGAGGGAUGGAGGCCUUCGGGUUGUGAACCUCUUUCGCUCGUGUGCAAGCCGCUAUUUGGGUAGUGGUGAGUGUAGCGGGUAAAGAAGCGCCGGCUAACUACGUGCCAGCAGCCGCGGUAAUACGUAGGGCGCGAGCGUUGUCCGGAUUUAUUGGGCGUAAAGGGCUUGUAGGCGGUUUGUCGCGCCUGUCGUGUAAUCCUCUGGCUUAACUGGGGGUGUGCGGUUGGUACGGGCAAGCUUGAGUGCGGUAGGGGGGAUUGGAAUUCCUGGUGUAGCGGUGGAAUGCGCAGAUAUCAGGAGGGACCCCGGUGGCGAAGGCGGGUCUCUGGGCCGUUACUGACGCUGAGGAGCGAAAGCGUGGGGAGCGAACAGG
rnacentral:rRNA from 1 species